rnacentral:rRNA from 1 species
CACAUGCAAGUCGAACGGUAACAGAGAGCAGCUUGAUGCUCUGCUGACGAGUGGCGGACGGGUGAGUAAUGUCUGGGAAUCUGCCUGAUGGAGGGGGAUAAAUCCUGGAAACGGUAGGUAAUACCGCAUAAUGUCUACGGACCAAAGUGGGGGACCUUCGGGCCUCAUGCCAUCAGAUGUGCCCAGAUGGGAUUAGUUAGUAGGUGGGGUAACGGUUCACAUAGGCGACGAUCCCUAGCUGGUUUGAGAGGAUGUCCAGCCCCACUGGAAUUGAGCCCCGGUCCAGAUUCUUACGGGAGGCACCAGUGGGGAUUAUUGCCCAAUGGGCGCAAUCCUGAUGCAGCCAUGCCGCGGGUAUGAAGAAGGCCUUCGGUUUGUAAAGUACUUUCAGCGGGGAGGAAGGGGUUGUGGUUAAUAACCGCAGCAAUUGACGUUACCCGCAGAAGAAGCCCCGGCUAACUCCGUGCCAGCAGCCGCGGUAAUACGUAGGGGGCAAGCGUUAUUCGGAAUUAUUGGGCGUAAAGCGCACGCAGGCGGUUUGUUAAGUCAGAUGUGAAAUCCCCGGGCUCAACCUGGGAAGUCAUUUGAAACUGGCAGGCUUGAGUCUCGUAGAGGGGGGUAGAAUUCCAGGUGUAGCGGUGAAAUGCGUAGAGAUAUGGAGGAAUCACCGGUGGCG